GACGGGGUCAGCUAAUAAGCUUUUCGGGCCCAUACCCCGAACAUGACGGUUAAAGUCCCUCCUCCGCCC
rnacentral:tRNA from 1 species